UGCAGCGACGCCGCGUGAGGGAUGACAGGCCUUCGGGUUGUAAACCUCUUUCAGUAGGGAAGAAGCGAAAGUGACGGUACCUGCAGAAGAAGCGCCGGCUAACUACGUGCCAGCAGCCGCGGUAAUACGUAGGGCGCAAGCGUUAUCCGGAAUUAUUGGGCGUAAAGAGCUCGUAGGCGGUUUGUCGCGUCUGCCGUGAAAGUCCGGGGCUCAACUCCGGAUCUGCGGUGGGUACGGGCAGGCUAGAGUGAUGUAGGGGAGACUGGAAUUCCUGGUGUAGCGGUGAAAUGCGCAGAUAUCAGGAGGAACACCGAUGGCGAAGGCAGGUCUCUGGGCAUUAACUGACGCUGAGGAGCGAAAGCAUGGGGAGCGAACAGGAUUAGAUACCCUGGUAGUCCAUGCCGUAAACGUUGGGCACUAGGUGUGGGGGACAUUCCACGUUUUCCGCGCCGUAGCUAACGCAUUAAGUGCCCCGCCUGGGGAGUACGGCCGCAAGGCUAAAACUCAAAGGAAUUGACGGGGGCCCGCACAAGCGGCGGAGCAUGCGGAUUAAUUCGAUGCAACGCGAAGAACCUUACCAAGGCUUGACAUGGACCGGACCGCCGCAGAGAUGUGGUUUCUCCUUUUGGGGCCGGUUCACAGGUGGUGCAUGGUUGUCGUCAGCUCGUGUCGUGAGAUGUUGGGUUAAGUCCCGCAACGAGCGCAACCCUCGUUCCAUGUUGCCAGCGCGUAAUGGCGGG
rnacentral:rRNA from 1 species